rnacentral:rRNA from 1 species
GACGUAGGAUGCGAGCGUUAAUCGGAAUUACUGGGCGUAAAGCGUGCGCAGGCGGCUUUGCAAGACAGAUGUGAAAUCCCCGGGCUCAACCUGGGAACUGCAUUUGUGACUGCAUGGCUGGAGUGCGGCAGAGGGGGAUGGAAUUCCGCGUGUAGCAGUGAAAUGCGUAGAUAUGCGGAGGAACACCGAUGGCGAAGCCAAUCCCCUGGGCCUGCACUGACGCUCAGGCACGAAAGCGUGGGGAGCAAACAGG